rnacentral:rRNA from 1 species
ACCUUUUGUAUAAUGGGUCAGCGACUUAUAUUCUGUAGCAAGGUUAACCGAAUAGGGGAGCCGAAGGGAAACCGAGUCUUAACUGGGCGUUAAGUUGCAGGGUAUAGACCCGAAACCCGGUGAUCUAGCCAUGGGCAGGUUGAAGGUUGGGUAACACUAACUGGAGGACCGAACCGACUAAUGUUGAAAAAUUAGCGGAUGACUUGUGGCUGGGGGUGAAAGGCCAAUCAAACCGGGAGAUAGCUGGUUCUCCCCGAAAGCUAUUUAGGUAGCGCCUCGUGAAUUCAUCUCCGGGGGUAGAGCACUGUUUCGGCAAGGGGGUCAUCCCGACUUACCAACCCGAUGCAAACUGCGAAUACCGGAGAAUGUUAUCACGGGAGACACACGGCGGGUGCUAACGUCCGUCGUGAAGAGGGAAACAACCCAGACCGCCAGCUAAGGUCCCAAAGUCAUGGUUAAGUGGGAAACGAUGUGGGAAGGCCCAGACAGCCAGGAUGUUGGCUUAGAAGCAGCCAUCAUUUAAAGAAAGCGUAAUAGCUCACUGGUCGAGUCGGCCUGCGCGGAAGAUGUAACGGGGCUAAACCAUGCACCGAAGCUGCGGCAGCGACGCUUAUGCGUUGUUGGGUAGGGGAGCGUUCUGUAAGCCUGUGAAGGUGUGCUGUGAGGCAUGCUGGAGGUAUCAGAAGUGCGAAUGCUGACAUAAGUAACGAUAAAGCGGGUGAAAAGCCCGCUCGCCGGAAGACCAAGGGUUCCUGUCCAACGUUAAUCGGGGCAGGGUGAGUCGACCCCUAAGGCGAGGCCGAAAGGCGUAGUCGAUGGGAAACAGGUUAAUAUUCCUGUACUUGGUGUUACUGCGAAGGGGGGACGGAGAAGGCUAUGUUGGCCGGGCGACGGUUGUCCCGGUUUAAGCGUGUAGGCUGGUUUUCCAGGCAAAUCCGGAAAAUCAAGGCUGAGGCGUGAUGACGAGGCACUACGGUGCUGAAGCAACAAAUGCCCUGCUUCCAGGAAAAGCCUCUAAGCAUCAGGUAACAUCAAAUCGUACCCCAAACCGACACAGGUGGUCAGGUAGAGAAUACCAAGGCGCUUGAGAGAACUCGGGUGAAGGAACUAGGCAAAAUGGUGCCGUAACUUCGGGAGAAGGCACGCUGAUAUGUAGGUGAAGUCCCUCGCGGAUGGAGCUGAAAUCAGUCGAAGAUACCAGCUGGCUGCAACUGUUUAUUAAAAACACAGCACUGUGCAAACACGAAAGUGGACGUAUACGGUGUGACGCCUGCCCGGUGCCGGAAGGUUAAUUGAUGGGGUCAGCGCAAGCGAAGCUCUUGAUCGAAGCCCCGGUAAACGGCGGCCGUAACUAUAACGGUCCUAAGGUAGCGAAAUUCCUUGUCGGGUAAGUUCCGACCUGCACGAAUGGCGUAAUGAUGGCCAGGCUGUCUCCACCCGAGACUCAGUGAAAUUGAACUCGCUGUGAAGAUGCAGUGUACCCGCGGCAAGACGGAAAGACCCCGUGAACCUUUACUAUAGCUUGACACUGAACAUUGAGCCUUGAUGUGUAGGAUAGGUGGGAGGCUUAGAAGUGUGGACGCCAGUCUGCAUGGAGCCGACCUUGAAAUACCACCCUUUAAUGUUUGAUGUUCUAACGUUGACCCGUAAUCCGGGUUGCGGACAGUGUCUGGUGGGUAGUUUGACUGGGGCGGUCUCCUCCUAAAGAGUAACGGAGGAGCACGAAGGUUGGCUAAUCCUGGUCGGACAUCAGGAGGUUAGUGCAAUGGCAUAAGCCAGCUUGACUGCGAGCGUGACGGCGCGAGCAGGUGCGAAAGCAGGUCAUAGUGAUCCGGUGGUUCUGAAUGGAAGGGCCAUCGCUCAACGGAUAAAAGGUACUCCGGGGAUAACAGGCUGAUACCGCCCAAGAGUUCAUAUCGACGGCGGUGUUUGGCACCUCGAUGUCGGCUCAUCACAUCCUGGGGCUGAAGUAGGUCCCAAGGGUAUGGCUGUUCGCCAUUUAAAGUGGUACGCGAGCUGGGUUUAGAACGUCGUGAGACAGUUCGGUCCCUAUCUGCCGUGGGCGCUGGAGAACUGAGGGGGGCUGCUCCUAGUACGAGAGGACCGGAGUGGACGCAUCACUGGUGUU